ensembl:lncRNA novel transcript
CUUUCAGUACCAGGAUUCUUUGGGCGGUGAGUGCCAGAGGGCCCCAGUCACCCAGAACCCCCACCCCGAGUCAAAGCGCUGAAAUGAGCCCCGCGGCAGGGGCCGUGUUCAUUACCUUUGAAAAUGCUCAGUUCUUCUUCGGUCCAGGGCGGGGCAGAAGGGAGGAUGCAGAGGGAGAAACAGGAUGAACUCAAACACAGGAGAUAGGAGAUGAUUUGGAUGAAGUGAUAAAGAAAAGGCUUCACUCCAAGAAAAAAAAGAAAAAGAAAAGAAAAUGAAAAGACCUGCAGGAGCAAGAAGCCCUUUCCAGGGUGUGCUUAUGAGGAAGAAGGGAAUUAUGGUGAUAGCUACCACUUAAGCACUUACCUUGUUCCAGGUGCAAUAACGGUGUUUUACAGGCAUUAUUUUAUUUAGUCCCCCAAAAUAAAGCUAUUACGUACCUUUU